UACGGAGGGUGCGAGCGUUAAUCGGAAUUACUGGGCGUAAAGCGUACGCAGGCGGUUUGUUAAGCGAGAUGUGAAAGCCCCGGGCUCAACCUGGGAACUGCAUUUCGAACUGGCAAACUAGAGUCUUGGAGAGGGGAGUGGAAUUCCAGGUGUAGCGGUGAAAUGCGUAGAUAUCUGGAGGAACAUCAGUGGCGAAGGCGACUCCCUGGCAUCAUACUGACACUGAGGCUCGAAAGCGUGGGUAGCAAACAGG
rnacentral:rRNA from 1 species